rnacentral:lncRNA from 1 species
GAUGCAAACAUCUUGUUGCGUUAUGUCAGGUUGUAAUGGCGAGGUGGUUGAGUCAUAGGCAGAAGCUGAUUUUGGAUGAGGAUGGGUUGAAGUGGCAUGGGGCUAGUCGACAGUGGCAUAAGGCAGGCCACUUGUGGCAGGUGGCUGGGCAUUUGUGAUGGAUAACUCAGGAAGAGUAGGAGAAGGAGGUAGUGUUUGGAUAAAAUUAGGAACACCAACAGACUUAUCAGUUUUGAUAGAUAAAGAAUUGAAAGGAAAUCAAAAUUCAUCAAAAGUAACAUGGCUAGAGAGAUGUACCACCUUUCUCUUUGGAUCAAAACAUAUGUAUCCCAUGUAAUUAUCUGAAUAUCCGAUAAAGAAGCAUGGAACUGAUCUUGCUUUUAAUUUUCUUGCUACUUUGGCCGUUAAUUGGAUAACAGAGACUGCCAAAUAUCU